rnacentral:rRNA from 1 species
CGGGGCCGCAAGCCUGGAUGCAGCCAUGCCGCGUGUAUGAAGAAGGCCUUCGGGUUGUAAAGUACUUUCAGCGGGGAGGAAGGGAGUAAAGUUAAUACCUUUGCUCAUUGACGUUACCCGCAGAAGAAGCACCGGCUAACUCCGUGCCAGCAGCCGCGGUAAUACGGAGGGUGCAAGCGUUAAUCGGAAUUACUGGGCGUAAAGCGCACGCAGGCGGUUUGUUAAGUCAGAUGUGAAAUCCCCGGGCUCAACCUGGGAACUGCAUCUGAUACUGGCAAGCUUGAGUCUCGUAGAGGGGGGUAGAAUUCCAGGUGUAGCGGUGAAAUGCGUAGAGAUCUGGAGGAAUACCGGUGGCGAAGGCGGCCCCCUGGACGAAGACUGACGCUCAGGUGCGAAAGCGUGGGGAGCAAACAGGAUUAGAUACCCCGGUAGUCCAA